AAUAGAUACCCGGGUAGUCCACGCCGUAAACGAUGAGUGCUAGGUGUUAGGGGGUUUCCGCCCCUUAGUGCUGCAGCUAACGCAUUAAGCACUCCGCCUGGGGAGUACGGUCGCAAGACUGAAACUCAAAGGAAUUGACGGGGGCCCGCACAAGCGGUGGAGCAUGUGGUUUAAUUCGAAGCAACGCGAAGAACCUUACCAGGUCUUGACAUCCCGCUGACCGCCAUGGAGACAUGGCCUUCCCUUCGGGGACAGCGGUGACAGGUGGUGCAUGGUUGUCGUCAGCUCGUGUCGUGAGAUGUUGGGUUAAGUCCCGCAACGAGCGCAACCCUUGUCCUUAGUUGCCAUCAUUCAGUUGGGCACUCUAAGGAGACUGCCGUACAAAUACGGAGGAAGGUGGGGAUGACGUCAAAUCAUCAUGCCCCUUAUGACCUGGGCUACACACGUGCUACAAUGGGUGGUACAAAGGGCAGCGAACCCGNGAGGGGGANCGAAUCCCAAAAAGCCACUCUCAGUUCGGAUUGCAGGCUGC
rnacentral:rRNA from 1 species